CCGGCGACCGGCGGCACGGGUGAGUAACGCGUAUGCAACCUGCCCGUUUCAGCGGGAUAACCCGGAGAAAUCCGGCCUAAUACCGCAUGUGGCCGAGGGGAGGCAUCUUCUUUCGGCCAAAGGAGGCAACUCCGGAGACGGAUGGGCAUGCGUGACAUUAGCUUGUUGGCGGGGUAACGGCCCACCAAGGCGACGAUGUCUAGGGGUUCUGAGAGGAAGGUCCCCCACACUGGUACUGAGACACGGACCAGACUCCUACGGGAGGCAGCAG
rnacentral:rRNA from 1 species